UACGUAGGCAGCGAGCGUUGUUCGGAAUUACUGGGCGUAAAGAGUGUGUAGGCGGUGCUCUAAGUUCGGUGUGAAAUCUCCUGGCUUAACUGGGAGGGUGCGCCGGAAACUGGGGUGCUCGAGCGUGGGAGAGGAAAGCGGAAUUCCUGGUGGUAGCGGUGGAAAUGCGCAGAUAUCAGGAGGAACACCGGUGGCGAAGGCGGGUCUCUGGGCCGAUACUGACGCUGAGGAGCGAAAGCGUGGGGAGCGAACAGG
rnacentral:rRNA from 1 species